rnacentral:lncRNA from 1 species
CACCUACGUGGAGUACCUGGGUCCCACCCGCAUCGCCACCGCCGCCACCAAGGCCAGGCCGCGGCCCUUGCCCCUGCCACCCGCCGGGACCCCCGCGCCCUGGGGACUCCCCGGGCAGGCAGAGCUCGCCGAGCACCCCGCUCUCCCCGAGCAGGCGCUGCCGACCGUGGCCAGGCUCAUCGAGGCUCUGGAAAAACAAGGGCUCGACAGCGAGGUGCUCUACAGGCCGGGCCCCGGCGUGCUGGGGGAUGCCGAGCUGAAACAGGCCCUCCUGGCUGGUGAGUCCCGCAUCCCCGCCGUGCUCCCAGCAGGGAGGGGGCUGUGGAGGUGAUGCUGCCCUGGCAGGGAGGGGUUACGGCACCAACAUCAUCACAGCCCUAAUCCCAGCUCGCCUGCAUGCGGACCCCCCUCUUCUCCCCGUGUGAUGCAGCUGAAAGUGAUGCAGGUGCAGGGCAGGGGCGCUUCAGUAGAUAUUUUAUUUUUAUUUUUAUUUUUUUGGGGGGGGUAGGGU